rnacentral:rRNA from 1 species
UACGUAGGGGGCUAGCGUUGUCCGGAAUCAUUGGGCGUAAAGAGCGCGCAGGCGGCUUGGCAAGUCGGGUGUGAAAUCCCGGGGCUCAACCCCGGGACUGCAUUCGAUACUGUCAGGCUAGAGGUAGGUAGGGGAGAUCGGAAUUCCUGGUGUAGCGGUGAAAUGCGCAGAUAUCAGGAGGAACACCGGUGGCGAAGGCGACUACCUGGCCUGUUCUUGACGCUGAGGCGCGAAAGCUAGGGGAGCAAACGGG